rnacentral:lncRNA from 1 species
CAGGGAGAUGUUCAUGGAUUGUUCUGGUUCUAAGAAUUCGGCUCCUGCAGAAUCUUCUGAGUCUUCUUCCAGUGGUUUUGGUUCCCUUCCGAGCUUGAAUUUGAUCAAGUUUCAGUUGUCGAGUGCUAUCUCUUGGAUUUCAGAUGAUGGGCCUCAAAAAGAUUCUUUCUUUUUGUCACCUACUCUUCAUUCCAAUUGCAGGUUUGCAACUCCAUAUUUUGCCUUCUUUAAUAGCAAUUUUGUAGUUGUAAAUGGUAUAGGAGAGGGAAUUCUAAUGGGAAUUGGGAUUGUAUUUGAUUUGAUUUCACCAACAACUAAUGUCUGUUUAAUUGGACAGUUCAUCACAGAACGAGAAGGAAAAACUGGGUUUUCUGACAGAUGAUGAUUUAGAGCAUUUAUAUAAAUUAGUUGAAGAAAAAGAUGGAGGUCCUGCUUGGAUUCACAUGAUGGAUAAGUCCACCCCAACUAUGGGAUAUCAGGCUUGGCAAAG